rnacentral:lncRNA from 1 species
UUUGGGGUUUUGCACUUUGCAGCAGGUUUGGGGUUUUGCAGUUGGGGUUUUGCAGCGGGUUUUGGGUUUGCAUUUGGGGUUUUGCAGCAGGUUUGGGGUUUGCAUUUGGGGUUUUGCAUUUGGGGUUUUGCAGCAGGUUUGGGGUUUGCAUUUGCAGCAGCUUCGCUCGGCCGUCGACAUUUUGCUCCUCAGGUUUUGCUUUCGCUGCUGCGGCUCCUGCAGCGGGGUUUGCAUUUGGGGUUUUGCAUUUGCAGCGGGGUUUGCAUCGCCCCGUUGCUCACGUUUGCAUUUGGGGUUUUGCAUUUGCAGCAGGGUUUGCGUUUGCAUUCGAGGGUUCCCACAUUUGCAUUUGGGGUUUUUGCAUUUGCGUUUUGGGGUUUUGCAUUUGCAGCAGGGUUUGCAUUUUCACCCCAUUUGCAUUUGGGGUUUUUGCAUUUGCAUUUAGGGUUUUGCAUUAGCCCCAUUGCUCACAUUUGCAUUUGGGGUUUUGCAUUUGCAGCAGGGUCUGCAUUCACCCCAUUUGCAUUUUGGGGUUUUGCAUUUAGGGUUUUGCAUUUUGGGGUUUUGUGUCUGGGGUUUUGUGUUUGGGGUUUUGUGUUUGGGGUUUUGCAUUUGCCCCAUUACUCACAUUUGCAUUUGUGGGUUUUUGCAUUUGUGGGGUUUUUGCAUUUGG